rnacentral:lncRNA from 1 species
AUUCUUAAUAAAAGUGAAGUUUCUUAGGUGGAAUUAAAGAAAUAUUAUUUGUUUUGAACAUAACUUUGAAAAGUUUUUAUGUUUGCUGCGGGUCUGGUAUAACAGGGUUUCGCAUCACACGGCGUUUUUUGGCAACCUCUCUACCGUGUUAUACGAAAAUUACCUAAAUGUUAGGAACGUGUUUUCCCAACCGAUUGGGCCGGGGAUUUCGCACUGAUGCCAUACUCCAACCUAGUCGAAUGCCAUCUGCAAAAUACCACUGGCUAGUUUUAUUACGUAACUGCAAACGAUGCGACGAAUUAACGAAGUGGUACUCAUCCCCUAACUGGCCAAAACGGCGGCCAUUAAUUUGUAAAUGUAAACAUGGUCAAUCGAAUUGGCCGCCUGGAAACGCUUCGGCUUUCCACUCUGGAAGAUCCGGUUUCGAAUCUCGGAUCCCAU